AGAGUUUGAUCCUGGCUCAGGAUGAACGCCGGCGGUGUGCCUAAUACAUGCAAGUCGUACGCACUGGCCCAACUGAUUGAUGGUGCUUGCACCUGAUUGACGAUGGAUCACCAGUGAGUGGCGGACGGGUGAGUAACACGUAGGUAACCUGCCCCGGAGCGGGGGAUAACAUUUGGAAACAGAUGCUAAUACCGCAUAACAACAAAAGCCACAUGGCUUUUGUUUGAAAGAUGGCUUUGGCUAUCACUCUGGGAUGGACCUGCGGUGCAUUAGCUAGUUGGUAAGGUAACGGCUUACCAAGGCGAUGAUGCAUAGCCGAGUUGAGAGACUGAUCGGCCACAAUGGAACUGAGACACGGUCCAUACUCCUACGGGAGGCAGCAGUAGGGAAUCUUCCACAAUGGGCGCAAGCCUGAUGGAGCAACACCGCGUGAGUGAAGAAGGGUUUCGGCUCGUAAAGCUCUGUUGUUGGAGAAGAACGUGCGUGAGAGUAACUGUUCACGCAGUGACGGUAUCCAACCAGAAAGUCACGGCUAACUACGUGCCAGCAGCCGCGGUAAUACGUAGGUGGCAAGCGUUAUCCGGAUUUAUUGGGCGUAAAGCGAGCGCAGGCGGUUGCUUAGGUCUGAUGUGAAAGCCUUCGGCUUAACCGAAGAAGUGCAUCGGAAACCGGGCGACUUGAGUGCAGAAGAGGACAGUGGAACUCCAUGUGUAGCGGUGGAAUGCGUAGAUAUAUGGAAGAACACCAGUGGCGAAGGCGGCUGUCUGGUCUGCAACUGACGCUGAGGCUCGAAAGCAUGGGUAGCGAACAGGAUUAGAUACCCUGGUAGUCCAUGCCGUAAACGAUGAGUGCUAGGUGUUGGAGGGUUUCCGCCCUUCAGUGCCGGAGCUAACGCAUUAAGCACUCCGCCUGGGGAGUACGACCGCAAGGUUGAAACUCAAAGGAAUUGACGGGGGCCCGCACAAGCGGUGGAGCAUGUGGUUUAAUUCGAAGCUACGCGAAGAACCUUACCAGGUCUUGACAUCUUGCGCUAACCUUAGAGAUAAGGCGUUCCCUUCGGGGACGCAAUGACAGGUGGUGCAUGGUCGUCGUCAGCUCGUGUCGUGAGAUGUUGGGUUAAGUCCCGCAACGAGCGCAACCCUUGUUACUAGUUGCCAGCAUUAAGUUGGGCACUCUAGUGAGACUGCCGGUGACAAACCGGAGGAAGGUGGGGACGACGUCAGAUCAUCAUGCCCCUUAUGACCUGGGCUACACACGUGCUACAAUGGACGGUACAACGAGUCGCAAGCUCGCGAGAGUAAGCUAAUCUCUUAAAGCCGUUCUCAGUUCGGACUGUAGGCUGCAACUCGCCUACACGAAGUCGGAAUCGCUAGUAAUCGCGGAUCAGCAUGCCGCGGUGAAUACGUUCCCGGGCCUUGCACUCACCGCCCGUCA
rnacentral:rRNA from 1 species